rnacentral:tRNA from 1 species
UGGGACCUGGCUCAAUUGAUAAAGCAUGUGCCUUACAAGCAUGAAGACCUGAGUUCAAUCCUCAGAACCCAA